GAUGAACGCUGGCGGCGUGCCUAAUACAUGCAAGUCGAGCGAACGGACGAGAAGCUUGCUUCUCUGAUGUUAGCGGCGGACGGGUGAGUAACACGUGGAUAACCUACCUAUAAGACUGGGAUAACUUCGGGAAACCGGAGCUAAUACCGGAUAAUAUUUUGAACCGCAUGGUUCAAAAGUGAAAGACGGUCUUGCUGUCACUUAUAGAUGGAUCCGCGCUGCAUUAGCUAGUUGGUAAGGUAACGGCUUACCAAGGCAACGAUGCAUAGCCGACCUGAGAGGGUGAUCAGCCACACUGGAACUGAGACACGGUCCAGACUCCUACGGGAGGCAGCAGUAGGGAAUCUUCCGCAAUGGGCGAAAGCCUGACGGAGCAACGCCGCGUGAGUGAUGAAGGUCUUCGGAUCGUAAAACUCUGUUAUUAGGGAAGAACAUAUGUGUAAGUAUCUGUGCACAUCUUGACGGUACCUAAUCAGAAAGCCACGGCUAACUACGUG
rnacentral:rRNA from 1 species